GACGAACGCUGGCGGCGUGCUUAACACAUGCAAGUCGAACGAAAAGGCGCUGCUUUUGUGGGUUGCUCGAGUGGCGAACGGGUGAGUAACACGUGAGUAACCUGCCCUUGACUUUGGGAUAACUUCAGGAGAAUGGGGCUCAUACAGGAUAGGAGCUCCUGCUGCAUGGUGGUGGUUGGAGAGAUUCGGCGGUUGGGGAUGGAUUGGCGGAUAAUCAGCUUGUUGGGGGGGUAGUGGAUUACAAAGGCUUUGAAGGGUAGCCGGCCUGAGAGGUUGACCGGCGACAAUGGUACUGAGAGACGGCCCAGACUGCUACGGGAGGCAGCAGUGGGGAAUAUGGCAGAACGGGCGGACGCGUGAGGCAGCAACGCCGCGUGCGGGAUGACGGCUUACGGGGUGUAAACCGCCGUCGCCGGAGCCGAAGCGGGAGUGACGGUAAUGAGUAAAGAAGCAACGGCUAACUACGUG
rnacentral:rRNA from 1 species